rnacentral:rRNA from 1 species
CAGGCCUAACACAUGCAAGUCGAACGGAAAGGCCCUGCCUUUGUGGGGUGCUCGAGUGGCGAACGGGUGAGUAACACGUGAGUAACCUGCCCUUGACUUUGGGAUAACUUCAGGAAACUGGGGCUAAUACCGGAUAGGAGCUCCUGCUGCAUGGUGGGGGUUGGAAAGUUUCGGCGGUUGGGGAUGGACUCGCGGCUUAUCAGCUUGUUGGUGGGGUAGUGGCUUACCAAGGCUUUGACGGGUAGCCGGCCUGAGAGGGUGACCGGCCACAUUGGGACUGAGAUACGGCCCAGACUCCUACGGGAGGCAGCAGUGGGGAAUAUUGCACAAUGGGCGGAAGCCUGAUGCAGCAACGCCGCGUGCGGGAUGACGGCCUUCGGGUUGUAAACCGCUUUCGCCUGUGACGAAGCGUGAGUGACGGUAAUGGGUAAAGAAGCACCGGCUAACUACGUGCCAGCAGCCGCGGUGAUACGUAGGGUGCGAGCGUUGUCCGGAUUUAUUGGGCGUAAAGGGCUCGUAGGUGGUUGAUCGCGUCGGAAGUGUAAUCUUGGGGCUUAACCCUGAGCGUGCUUUCGAUACGGGUUGACUUGAGGAAGGUAGGGGAGAAUGGAAUUCCUGGUGGAGCGGUGGAAUGCGCAGAUAUCAGGAGGAACACCAGUGGCGAAGGCGGUUCUCUGGGCCUUUCCUGACGCUGAGGAGCGAAAGCGUGGGGAGCGAACAGGCUUAGAUACCCUGGUAGUCCGCGCUGUA